CAGAACUCUGCUCGGAGCUCUGGUGGAUUUCAGACUUUUUGUCACUGGCAGAAAAAAGUUUUGGGGAUCCAGAACCAGAACGUGGAGCCAGAGGAGUCGUUGGGUCGUAGAACCAGACAUGGAGACAUCUACAGACAAGAAGGACAAACUGGACAGCAGGACUUUCAGCGAUCUUCAGAAGAAGCACUCAGAGAUCAGAGGUCCCCAAAAUGUUUUCCCGACCUUCCACGCUCCAAUCCCAGUCGAUAUCCGGCACCACGAGGGCCAGUACCACUAUGAGCCCCAUGCCCUGCACGCCAUGCACAGGUAAUGGGUCUGGUUCUGAUGGAGCACAAAGCUGGUGUUCGUUUGACUCGAAGACAUCAGCUGAUUCCGAUUGGACCUGAAGGUCUACCAGGAUCAGAACCACACACACGAAAUGCUGACUCCCAAAGAGCUGGUCAAUAGGUCUCUGGUGUCCCUAAUGUGAGGUCUCUGGGGGGUUCUGAAGGGCUCCGGUUGGACCUUUCUGCUCAGAUGUUUGGACUCUUAGUAAUCAGAAACUUAGAAUCAGUUUCUGGUAUUUUACAGAUGACCUUUGAAGAUCAACCCAGUUCUUGUUUACCAGUUCCUAUCAGACCCAUCAGGUAGGAUUUAGAACCAUGCAGGGCCAAACUGGUUCUGAUUCAGACCGAUGGAUCAGGUCCAUCACCAGAACUUGUUUAUAUAUUCUUGUAGAGCUGAUCAGAGAGCUGUCCUGGCGUUGACGCUGUAAUUAAACUCUUGGAGAUCAAAGAUUGAUUCUCAGGCUGUUGGGAGUCAGAAAGAGAUUCAUUAAUUAAACCUACAAAAUAAAAGGGUUCUACACGUAGCUAGGCUUUUAUUUAGAACAUCACUGGUUCAGAGACGUGUUUGUGUGAGGGUCUGCUGAGCCUGGAGCAGGGGGCAGAUCAAGAAUCCUGCUUUGGGUCCAAACUCCUCUCAGUAGAAAAACUGUAUCCAGAACCAGAAGUCAGAAACAAUGUUUCUGGUACUUUGAGAAUCUGCGACCUGAUGGUGAUGCAUUCUUCACGCCCAGCACAAGCAGAGCUAUUCAUCACACAGACCCAGGAAGUGGGGGGCGUGGGGUAGGGCUGUCCACCGACUCGGCCGCCUUGAUUAAUGUGAUUUGAUCUUGACAGUGGACCCCUAAUUCAUCAAGGCCUUGAUCUGGCUGUCGGUCCCCCUGCCUGAGCCAAAUUCACCUAAUUACAGGAACUGAACAGCAAAUUAAGAGCAGCGCUGUUUGAGUCCUGCUGCAGCACUUCGUUAUCCGCUGGAGGCGUCGCAUCACGGACCAGCUCUCUGAUGGUCCGACAAGACACACAACCCUUCAUCAUGGUUCACAGAGACCGUAACGAGACAAUUGUCAGGGGAGGGGGCCUGCUUCUUCUUCUUCUAUGGUUUAACUCACAGUCUCCAGGAAACAACAAAAACUCAUCUAAAUGUGUUCCAGGUGGACUUCAGACUGGUUUCAGAUGUGCUUCAGAUUAGUUCAGGUGUGCUCCAGGUGGAGCAGGGUCAGGCAAGCUGCGGGACAUUUGGGCUUGGGCUACAAAAACGCUUUAGUGGGGGUUACUGUAGCAUUUCACCAACCAAUCAGAAUGGGCAUCAAAAUCCAUAAUUUAUGCUGCUGGACAUCUGUCAAAAUAAAAGUCUACACAACAUGUCCAUAAUGCCGGGAUCACACUGUGUGAUAUUUGGCUGUUGCACAAUAUUGUUCACGUCACGCAUUGAAAACUCCAGAAAGGUGGAACAUUGUACGACGUAAGAUUUCUGCAAGUCGGACUGCAUGCCGUCUCGCUCCGGCAGGACACACUAUGUCAUGAGCGCACCUCUCAAAAGCGUAUGUCACUAAGCUAACCGCUAACCAAAACAAAGCUGAGAAAACAGCGCUGCCGUUAACACUUCUUGUUAGAGUCAGCUCAUGACCCAGCUCGUUUUCCUCAAAGAGGAAGGGUCGUUUUCAAAGCCCUUGCUCUUGCUUUGGUGUCAGGCACUGGCUGCGGGUCUCCUUUUCCAGUCUUCCAACUGAGCUGUCUGCUGGACCUUCAUCCGUCUCAUCCUCCUUUAUACAUAAAAAUACAAUAAACCAGAGAAGUAACAGUCUGUCACAGAUCGCUUCAAUUUCUGAAGUUUUGCUGUGAAUUCUGUCUCUCUGUUUACUCCGCAGCUCCGUGACAUCUCAUCACACUCGUGGUCGCGAAGCUGCCUCUGUUCCUCUGCAACAAAACGCUACUGAACGGAACCCAUCCUUAUCAGUUAAAUAUGUGAGAUUUUCACCAACAGCAAAGGGUUGUUUAAACAAUGUUAAUCAUGUGCAGUGUGAAUUCGUUCCUGGUGGAUUCCAAAUUGGUUUCAGAUGGUUCCAGGUGGAAUUCAGACUAGUAUCAGGUGUGUUCCAGGUGGUAUCCAGAUUAGCUUCAGGUGUGUUCCAGGUGGAAUCCAGAUUAGUUUGAGGUGUGUUCCAGAUAGAAUACAAAUUAGUUUCCUAUGUGUUCCUGCUGGUAUCCAGGCUAGUAUCAGGUGUGUUCCUGCUGGUAUCCAGGCUAGUAUCAGGUGUGUUCCAGGUGAUAUCCAGACUAGUAUCAGGUGUGUUCCAGGUGGUAUCCAGACUAGUAUCAGGUGUGUUCCGGGGGUAUCCAGACUAGUAUCAGGUGUGUUCCAGGUGGUAUCCAGGCUAGUAUCAGGUGUGUUCCUGCUGGUAUCCAGGCUAGUAUCAGGUGUGUUCCAGGUGGUAUCCAGACUAGUAUCAGGUGUGUUCCAGGUGCUAUCCAGAUUAGUUUCAGGUGUGUUCCAGAUGGAAUACAAAUUAGUUUCCUAUGUGUUCCUGCUGGUAUCCAGGCUAGUAUCAGGUGUGUUCCUGCUGGUAUCCAGGCUAGUAUCAGGUGUGUUCCAGGUGAUAUCCAGACUAGUAUCAGGUGUGUUCCAGGUGGUAUCCAGACUAGUAUCAGGUGUGUUCCAGGUGGUAUCCAGACUAGUAUCAGGUGUGUUCCGGGGGUAUCCAGACUAGUAUCAGGUGUGUUCCAGGUGGUAUCCAGGCUAGUAUCAGGUGUGUUCCUGCUGGUAUCCAGGCUAGUAUCAGGUGUGUUCCAGGUGAUAUCCAGACUAGUAUCAGGUGUGUUCCAGGUGGUAUCCAGACUAGUAUCAGGUGUGUUCCAGGUG